rnacentral:rRNA from 1 species
UACGAAGGGGGCUAGCGUUGCUCGGAAUCACUGGGCGUAAAGGGUGCGUAGGCGGGUCUUUAAGUCAGGGGUGAAAUCCUGGAGCUCAACUCCAGAACUGCCUUUGAUACUGAGGAUCUUGAGUACGGGAGGGGUGAGUGGAACUGCGAGUGUAGAGGUGAAAUUCGUAGAUAUUCGCAAGAACACCAGUGGCGAAGGCGGCUCACUGGCCCGUAACUGACGCUGAGGCACGAAAGCGUGGGGAGCAAACAGG